AGGGUUACCAAAAAAACAAAACAAAAACAGAGAGUGUCUAACGACCGUUUUUCUAAAUUCUCUCUAAAAGGUUCAAGAGAAUUUUUUUGUUCGUUCCUCAACUGUGUAAUUACGUAGAGGAUGAGGCGACUUUAUUGCAGCUUGAAAUCGACAUCACGCAAGGGGAUCAGAUAAAAAAAAGGGUUUGCCGAUUGUGGCUAGCAAUACCAUUGCUCGCUAUAUGGGCAAAGGGACCCCCACAGGGGGCUCCAUCCCUUGACCCCCACAAGGGGCUCCGCCCAUUGACCUCAUGUGUAGGCGACAUUAAUUGUAGGGACAUUUUUGUUAUUAACAUUAAUAAGAGAUUGAAUAAAAAUAUAUCAUAUGUUGUAUGCUAUGAAUGAUUUGCACAGUGGUUGGAAAUGCAUAGUUACAGCUCGAUAGCCCAUUUGAUUUAUUAUUUACAAAGGUUGAAGUUUUAUAAA